CCUACGUGGUGCAGCAGUGAGGAAUAUUGGUCAAUGGGCGGAAGCCUGCACCAGCCAAGUCGCGUGCGGGAUUAAGGCCCUACGGGUCGUAAACCUCUUUUGCCGGGGGGCAAGGGCGGGGACGUGUCCCGGCCCGGAGAGUACCCGGAGAAAAAGCAUCGGCUAACUCCGUGCCAGCAGCCGCGGUAUUACGGAGGAUGCAAGCGUUGUCCGGAAUUAUGGGGGGUAAAGGGCGCGUAGGUGGGCGCUUAAGUCAGGUGUGAAAACUCCGGGCUGAACCUGGGGACUGCACUUGAAACUGGGUGUCUUGAGGGCAGGAGAGGAAAGUGGAAUUCCGAGUGGAGCGGUGAAAUGCGUAGAUAUUAGGAGGAACAACAGUGGCGAAGGCGACUUUCUGGACUGUACCUGACGCUGAGGCGCGAAGGCGUGGGUAGCGAACGGGAUUAGAUACCCUAGUAGUC
rnacentral:rRNA from 1 species